CUUAGAAUCCCUACCAAAAAAGAGAUCUCAACGUUUGUUCCUUAUGUAUGACCAUUUGAUCUUGGUAAUACCUAGGCAUUCACUGAUAAGUAUUCCAUGUAUUUGCUUUUUGAUUUAAUUCAAUAAAAAAAAAUACUACAUGUUUUUUAUUUUAAAGUUCAAGAAAAAUUAAAUAACAUGUCUAUUAUUUUUUUAAAUAAUAAAAUAAAGUGUUAAAAUAUUAUCAGAAAAAAUAAGAAAUUGACUCAAUAUUAAAUUUUGAAAAGGAUGUUCAGGUCUAGAUUUAUUAUUAUGUCGGUUUGUUUGCGUGCUUUCCUUUAGUCUCGUUUUCAACGAAUAAAAAGAAAAGAAAAGGGUGUCUUCAGCAAAUUAUAGAGUGCUAGUAAAACUGCAUUUUAAGUGAUCUUUGAAAUUGGACGUUUCCACUAAAACAUCUUUUAAAGUUUUGAAUCACUAAAUAAAAUCCAAAUUGCAGGGUGUUAGUAAGAUUGUCUUUUAAGUUGGUUGUCAUAUUCCAACUGAUUUUUAGUUUUGAAUCCUCUUUGGUGCUAUUCUCUUAUUGCAAAGUCAACAGAUUUUAUCCCUAAAAUAUUUGUUCAUUUGAAGUGUUUUUGUAUUUUAGUGUAAUGUCUGAACUGAUUCAUAUGUUUAUUAACAUUGCACUUGAAUUGUAAGUGAUGAACCGUUCAUGUCAUAUAACCUAUUGCAUUUUAAGUUCAAACAUGUCCCAUCUUUCAGUUUAGAUUGAAUAUAUCAUAUUUUUAUUGAGCAUUAAAAAAUCAAUUUGAAUUGUACGUAAAACGGCCUUCUAGAGAGAGAGAGACGUUGCAGUUGGUAACUUAAGGUAGGUUUAGGAACCCCUUGCCUACAAAUAUACAAAUAGUAGGAUUAGACGUGCAAAACAUGCUUAAAAUUUGAAAAUAUUGUAAAUAGUUGCUGUGACAAAUCUGGCCCCAUUCUCCUCGGUAUAAAUGCGUGUAAACGAAAAAUGGAAUGAUUAAGUGAUAAGUAAGUAGAUUAGGAACUAAGGUAAAUUAUUAGUUAUUUAUGAAUAAAAAUUUCAUAUUUUAUAUUUCUAGAUUCCAAUAGAGACUCAAGUAGUUAGCAUUGGUUGAUCGAACGAGAGACUUCCAUGCUUUAGAACGGGGAUUUUAAACCCAUGAGAUACAGUAAUUUUAUUUUGAUAAUCAAGAACAAGUUUUGAGAAAAAGAUUUCAUUCGCAUUUCCCAAGUAUCAAAAGUACGUUCCAAGCAUUGUUCAUCGCUUAAUCUACUAUUUUAGUUUUUAUUCAAAUGUUCAUAGU
rnacentral:lncRNA from 1 species